rnacentral:rRNA from 1 species
AUACGGAGGGUGCAAGCGUUACUCGGAAUCACUGGGCGUAAAGCGCGCGCAGGCGGCUAUUUAAGUUGGAUGUGAAAGCCUACGGCUCAACCGUAGAACUGCAUCCAAAACUAUUUAGCUAGAGUGUGGGAGAGGAAGAUGGAAUUAGUUGUGUAGGGGUAAAAGCCGUAGAGAUAACUAGGAAUACCAAAAGCGAAGGCAAUCUUCUGGAACACUACUGACGCUGAGGCGCGAAAGCGUGGGGAGCAAACAGGAUUAGAAACCCUUGUAGUCC